UAGUCACAGCCAUAAAACAAAGAUUAAUUAAAAAGCGUUAAUCCUGCUGAUCAUCCAGAAAGCUGGCUCAAUUCAUCCACCACCUCAUCAAUCUCUUCAUCCCCUUUCUUUCUUAUAUUCUCACUCAUUUCCCUUGCUUUCCUCCUCAAUUUCUCUCCAUUUUUCUCCACCACCACCUCUUUGAUCACUCUUGCCAUCUCUUCCCUUUCAAUCCUCCCAUUCUCGUUUCUUCUCACCUCCAUCCCAACGCCAACAUCUUCAACCAGUCUUGCAUUCAACGGCUGAUCAAGAUGCAUCGGCAUCGCGAUAAUCGGAACACCAAGCUUCAUGCUCUCCAUCACCGAGCUCCAUCCACAGUGACUCACAAAACCUCCAAUGCCCC
rnacentral:lncRNA from 1 species